CAAGUCAAACGGUAACAGGGGUAGCAAUACCCGCUGACGAGUGGCGCACGGGUGCGUAACACGUAUGCAACCUACCUAUAACUGGGGAAUAGCCUUCCGAAAGGAAGAUUAACACCGCAUAACAUCAUUCUACGGCAUCGCAGAAUGAUCAAACCUCCGGGGGUUAUAGAUGGGCAUGCGUAACAUUAGCUAGUUGGUGAGGUAACGGCUCACCAAGGCUACGAUGUUUAGGGGGUCUGAGAGGAUGAUCCCCCACACUGGUACUGAGACACGGACCAGACUCCUACGGGAGGCAGCAGUAAGGAAUAUUGGACAAUGGGGGCAACCCUGAUCCAGCCAUGCCGCGUGAAGGAUGACGGCCCUCUGGGUUGUAAACUUCUUUUGUACGGGAAUAAACCCCUCUACGUGUAGAGGGUUGAAUGUACCGUAAGAAUAAGGAUCGGCUAACUUCGUGCCAGCAGCCGCGGUAAUACGAAGGAUCCAAGCGUUAUCCGGAUUUAUUGGGUUUAAAGGGUGCGUAGGCGGGCUAUUAAGUCAGUGGUGAAAGCCCCAAGCUUAACUUGGGAAUUGCCAUUGAUACUGAUGGUCUUGAGUACACUUGAAGUGGGCGGAAUGUGUCAUGUAGCGGUGAAAUGCUUAGAUAUGACACAGAACACCUAUUGCGAAGGCAGCUCACUAAAUUGUAACUGACGCUGAGGCACGAAAGCGUGGGGAUCAAACAGGAUUAGAUACCCUGGUAGUCCACGCCCUAAACGAUGAUUACUCGAUGUGUGCAAUACACCGUACGCGUCUGAGCGAAAGCAUUAAGUAAUCCACCUGGGGAGUACGACCGCAAGGUUGAAACUCAAAGGAAUUGACGGGGGCCCGCACAAGCGGA
rnacentral:rRNA from 1 species